AUAAGCUAGUCCCAGGAACAUUUAACUGAUCUUACCUAACUUUGCUGAGCAUCAAAAGAAAAUCUGUAGUUUUGAUGAAGCAAAGGAAAUGCUUUUAAGUUGUAGAAAAGGUGUGUAUUUUAAGUUGUAGAAAAGGUGUGUAUUUUGAGUUGUAGAAAAGGUGUGUAUUUUGAGUUGUAGAAAAGGUGUGUAUUUUAAGUUGUAGAAAAGGUGUGUAUUUUAAGUUGUAGAAAAGGUGUGUAUUUUGAGUUGUAGAAAAGGUGUGUAUUUUGAGUUGUAGAAAAGGUGUGUAUUUUGAGUUGUAGAAAAGGUGUGUAUUUUAAGUUGUAGAAAAGGUGUGUAUUUUGAGUUGUAGAAAAGGUGUGUAUUUUAAGUUGUAGAAAAGGUGUGUAUUUUGAGUUGUAGAAAAGGUGUGUAUUUUAAGUUGUAGAAAAGGUGUGUAUUUUAAGUUGUAGGAAAGGUGUGUAUUUUGAGUUGUAGAAAAGGUGUGUAUUUUAAGUUGUAGAAAAGGUGUGUAUUUUGAGUUGUAGAAAAGGUGUGUAUUUUAAGUUGUAGAAAAGGUGUGUAUUUUAAGUUGUAGAAAAGGUGUGUAUUUUAAGUUGUAGGAAAGGUGUGUAUUUUGAGUUGUAGAAAAGGUGUGUAUUUUAAGUUGUAGGAAAGGUGUGUAUUUUAAGUUGUAGAAAAGGUGUGUAUUUUAAGUUGUAGAAAAGGUCUGUAUUUUGAGUUGUAGAAAAGGUGUGUAUUUUGAGUUGUAGAAAAGGUGUGUAUUUUAAGUUGUAGGAAAGGUGUGUAUUUUAAGUUGUAGGAAAGGUGUGUAUUUUGAAGCAUGAAUGAAAGAAAAAGGAUACACACAAUAGGCAGGGUUUUUUGUUUUUGUUGUUGUUUUUGGAUUUUUGGAUUUGUUUUUUUUGGAGACAGGGUUUCUCUGUGUAGCCCUGGCUGUCCUGGAACUCACUCUGUAGACCAGGCUGGCCUUGAACUCAGAAAUCCGCCUGCCUCUGCCUCCCAAGUGCUGGGAUUAAAGGCGUGUGCCACCACCUCCCAGCUUAUA